GUUUGUAGUCAUGAAAGUACCACCUUAUUUUGUCAAAGGUGUCUAUAUAUAUAUCUUGUUAUAUUUUUUUGCUAGUGUACAUAAGGAGAAAAAAAAAAGAAAACGAAAAAGGAUGGUAGUUAGUUUGGUGAAGGCUUGUGAAGGCUUGUGGAGGAAGAAAGUGUUUGGGCCAAAGAGAUUGGAACGGUAUAAAUGAAUCUCAACGGCCUAGGUAUUGAGAAGAGAAGGCUUGAUGACAUAUACACCAUUUAUUGCAAGAACUUGAAGAAGAUGAGAUAUUGGUUGUUGAAGUUGAGAGCAUGUAUGUUGAUCUUUUUAGUUAUGUGGAACUUCAUUUUUUAUUUUAGAUAUCAAGAAUACAAGUCAAAGUAUAUUACAACACAUAAACAAGCCUUUUUCUCACAAGGAUGAAGAAUGGUACUUCUUGUCUUUUUACUUCCAGAUUUUCUUUCCUUUUGUUAUUCCCCCUAAUUCAAUCUCUUUUGCCUAAUUAGGUUGGGAGACAAAUAUGAUCCAACCAAGGGUUGCACAGUUAUAGUUGUUUGAUUUUGUAGGAAUGUAAUUUCUGGAUGUAACUUCAUACUUAGAACCGAUUGAUUCUUACAAUUUAGUAUUUUUUUUUCUCCAUAUUUAUGUUAUGAAAUUUAUUGGUUGUGGUAUAGAGAGUUAAGUAGUAGUUCCCCAAUAUUUUGGGUUUCUACUUUGAGUUGGCUAGUUUAUGGUCCUAGAUCCUAGUAAAAAUUUUAUCUUUCUUUUGCCUUUAUAAAAACAUGUUUAUAUUUGUAUAGAUACUACUUUAUUUUGUAAUUUGGAAUUGAUAUAGAGUAUAGUUAGAUUUUGGUUUGUUAAUGGAGGAAGAAAAUAAAGAAUUAAAAGCUUGGAACUUCAUGCAUCUUUUUCUCUCACUCUUUUCUUGGUGAAUGUAUUCAAGUCUUGAAGAUUAUGUAGCAGAGUACUACCAGCAGCAGGUAGAAAGGCUUGUUCCGUACUUAUUUUAAAGAGUUGAAGAUAACAAUCGAUGAGACAUUGAGCUUUGAGUUAUGUGAGAGUUCUUUUUUAACUGAGGUAACUCUCUCUCCCUUGUUUCUUAAUUCUCUCCCUUUGCUUUCCAAAUUGCCUCCCAGGCCAUCUUGCCAUUGUGAAAUACUAUUGGAAUGUGAGUUUAUUGGAAGUUUAAUAGGUAACUGCUUAGAUUCUUCUGCUAAAGUUCAAAAUGUCCACACCUCCAAGGAAUAACUCACGGUAACACUCUUAUCUCCAUUUCUAUAUAUGAAUCUUUGACCCUUUUCUUUUCUUCUCUUAUCAUUUAUGUUUUUCCUCUCUUUUGGCCUUAUGGUUUCUGAGUUUUCCUUGGA